AUUGAACCCUGGCGGCAUGCUUUACACAUGCAAGUCGAACGGUAACAGGCCGCAAGGUGCUGACGAGUGGCGAACGGGUGAGUAAUGCAUCGGAACGUGCCCAGUCGUGGGGGAUAACGCAGCGAAAGCUGCGCUAAUACCGCAUACGAUCUAUGGAUGAAAGCGGGGGACCGUAAGGCCUCGCGCGAUUGGAGCGGCCGAUGUCAGAUUAGGUAGUUGGUGGGGUAAAGGCUCACCAAGCCAACGAUCUGUAGCUGGUCUGAGAGGACGACCAGCCACACUGGGACUGAGACACGGCCCAGACUCCUACGGGAGGCAGCAGUGGGGAAUUUUGGACAAUGGGCGCAAGCCUGAUCCAGCAAUGCCGCGUGCAGGAAGAAGGCCUUCGGGUUGUAAACUGCUUUUGUACGGAACGAAACGGCUCUGGUUAAUACCUGGGGCUAAUGACGGUACCGUAAGAAUAAGCACCGGCUAACUACGUGCCAGCAGCCGCCGUAA
rnacentral:rRNA from 1 species